rnacentral:rRNA from 1 species
AUUGAACGCUGGCGGCAGGCCUAACACAUGCAAGUCGAACGAGUGGCGGACGGGUGAGUAAUGUAUGGGAAACUGCCCGAUGGAGGGGGAUAACUACUGGAAACGGUAGCUAAUACCGCAUACUAUCGGAUGUGCCCAGAUGGGAUUAGCUUGUUGGUGGGGUAACGGCUCACCAAGGCGACGAUCCCUAGCUGGUCUGAGAGGAUGAUCAGCCACACUGGAACUGAGACACGGUCCCGACUCCUACGGGAGGCAGCAGUGGGGAAUAUUGCACAAUGGGCGCAAGCCUGAUGCAGCCAUGCCGCGUGUAUGAAGAAGGCCUUAGGGUUGUAAAGUACUUUCAGCGGGGAGGCGUUACCCGCAGAAGAAGCACCGGCUAACUCCGUGCCAGCAGCCGCGGUAAUAC